CUUCGGGNGANCGGCGGANGGGUUAGUAACGCGUGGGAACAUACCCUUUUCUACGGAAUAGCCUCGGGAAACUGAGAGUAAUACCGUAUAAGCCCUUCGGGGGAAAGAUUUAUCGGGAAAGGAUUGGCCCGCGUUAGAUUAGAUAGUUGGUGGGGUAAUGGCCUACCAAGUCUACGAUCUAUAGCUGGUUUUAGAGGAUGAUCAGCAACACUGGGACUGAGACACGGCCCAGACUCCUACGGGAGGCAGCAGUGGGGAAUCUUAGACAAUGGGCGCAAGCCUGAUCUAGCCAUGCCGCGUGUGUGAUGAAGGUCUUAGGAUCGUAAAGCACUUUCGCCAGGGAUGAUAAUGACAGUACCUGGUAAAGAAACCCCGGCUAACUCCGUGCCAGCAGCCGCGGUAAUACGGAGGGGGUUAGCGUUGUUCGGAAUUACUGGGCGUAAAGCGUACGUAGGCGGAUUGGAAAGUUGGGGGUGAAAUCCCAGGGCUCAACCCUGGAACUGCCUCCAAAACUAUCAGUCUAGAGUUCGAGAGAGGUGAGUGGAAUUCCAAGUGUAGAGGUGAAAUUCGUAGAUAUUUGGAGGAACACCAGUGGCGAANGCGGCUCACUGGCUCGAUACUGACGCUGANGUACGAAAGUGUGGGGAGCAAACAGGAUUANAUACCCUGGUAGUCCACACCGUAAACGAUGAAUGCCAGUC
rnacentral:rRNA from 1 species